rnacentral:rRNA from 1 species
AUUGAACGCUAGCGGCAGGCUUAAUACAUGCAAGUCGAACGGUAAGGUCUCUUCGGAGAUACACGAGUGGCGCACGGGUGCGUAACGCGUAUGCAACCUACCUUUAACUGGGAAAUAGCCCCGAGAAAUCGGGAUUAAUGUCCCAUAUUAUUCUUUGCAUACCUAUUCGAGGAAUGAAAGCUCCGGCGGUUAUUGAUGGGCAUGCGUGACAUUAGCUAGUUGGUGAGGUAACGGCUCACCAAGGCAACGAUGUCUAGGGGUCCUGAGAGGGUUAACCCCCACACUGGUACUGAGACACGGACCAGACUCCUACGGGAGGCAGCAGUAAGGAAUAUUGGGCAAUGGACGCAAGUCUGACCCAGCCAUGCCGCGUGAAGGAUGAAUGUCCUAUGGAUUGUAAACUUCUUUUAUGCAGGAAAAAUAUCCCGGUCGUGAACCGGGACUGAUGGUACUGUAUGAAUAAGCAUCGGCUAACUCCGUGCCAGCCGCCGCAGUAA